rnacentral:rRNA from 1 species
CGGGGUAACGAAAUAAGCUCUGUCUCAAUAAAAWCUAUAAAAACUAAUAUCCAAGUGAAGAAGCUUAGAUAAWAUUAAAGGACAAGAAGACCCUAUAGAGCUUUAUCUUUUUAUGUUCAUACAAAAGAAAGAUUGGGUUGGGGCGACCAUGGAUAAAUCAUCCAUAAUUUAUAAGACAAACUAGUCAAUUAAUAGAUCCUUUAAAGAUCACAGAAUCAAGCUACCUUAGGGAUAACAGUGCUAAUCCUAUUAAAGAGCUCUUAUC